UACGUAGGGUGCGAGCGUUGUCCGGAAUUAUUGGGCGUAAAGAGCUCGUAGGCGGCCUGUUGCGUCUGCUGUGAAAGCCCGGGGCUCAACCCCGGGUCUGCAGUGGAUACGGGCAGGCUAGAGUCCGGCAGGGGAGACUGGAAUUCCUGGUGUAGCGGUGAAAUGCGCAGAUAUCAGGAGGAACACCGGUGGCGAAGGCGGGUCUCUGGACCGAUACUGACGCUGAGGCGCGAAAGCGUGGGGAGCAAACAGG
rnacentral:rRNA from 1 species